AAAAGGAAAGAGGAACGUGAAGAAGGCCUACCCUCUGAAGAGGUCCAAGCAACGGAAGUACUACUACGAAGCUGCCUUUCUGGCCAUCCUUGAGAAAAACAGACAGAUGGCCAAGGAGAGGGGCCUAAUAAGCCCCAGUGAUUUUGCCCAGCUGCAAAAAUACAUGGAAUACUCCACCAAAAAGGUCAGUGAUGUCCUAAAGCUCUUCGAGGAUGGCGAGAUGGCUAAAUAUGUCCAAGGAGAUGCCAUUGGGUACGAGGGAUUCCAGCAAUUCCUGAAAAUCUAUCUGGAAGUGGAUAAUGUUCCCAGACACCUAAGCCUGGCACUGUUUCAAUCCUUUGAGACUGGUCACUGCUUAAAUGAGACAAAUGUGACAAAAGAUGUGGUGUGUCUCAAUGAUGUUUCCUGCUACUUUUCCCUUCUGGAGGGUGGUCGGCCAGAAGACAAGUUAGAAUUCACCUUCAAGCUGUACGACACGGACAGAAAUGGGAUCCUGGACAGCUCAGUGAGUUGGGGACCCUGUAUGCUGGGCAAGGGAAUAUGUGUUAAUUUGUCUGCACCCUCCUGCCCCAACUCUUCCAGGGUCUUAAGAAACAGAAGAGGAUGGGGGGAGAGGUUGAGUCCUCUAGGACUAAAUUUGAAAGUAAGUCCCAAGCUCUUGACCCCUCAAAGAGAAUGCUGGAGACAUGAAUUGGGUCUGCCUUACAAACAUACAAACACAUUUAUUUACUUGGCAGACGUACCUGAGAAUGAGAGGUGUGAAUCUGGGGUGGAACCCAGGAACACUGAUUUCUGGAAAAGAGUUUGGAUGGUGGUAGUAAAGGG
rnacentral:sRNA from 1 species